rnacentral:rRNA from 1 species
GAACGCUAGCUACAGGCUUAACACAUGCAAGUCGAGGGGCAGCAUGGUCUUAGCUUGCUAAGGCCGAUGGCGACCGGCGCACGGGUGAGUAACGCGUAUCCAACCUGCCUUACACUCUUGGACAGCCUUCUGAAAGGGAGAUUAAUACAAGAUGUUAUUAUGAGUAAGCAUUUUCGCAUGAUUAAAGGUUUACCGGUGUAAGAUGGGGAUGCGUUCCAUUAGAUAGUAGGCGGGGUAACGGCCCACCUAGUCUUCGAUGGAUAGGGGUUCUGAGAGGAAGGUCCCCCACAUUGGAACUGAGACACGGUCCAAACUCCUACGGGAGGCAGCAGUGAGGAAUAUUGGUCAAUGGACGAGAGUCUGAACCAGCCAAGUAGCGUGAAGGAUGAAGGUUCUAUGGAUUGUAAACUUCUUUUAUACGGGAAUAAACGAAUCCACGCGUGGAUUUUUGCAUGUACCGUAUGAAUAAGGAUCGGCUAACUCCGUGCCAGCAGCCGCGGUAAUACGGAGGAUCCGAGCGUUAUCCGGAUUUAUUGGGUUUAAAGGGAGCGUAGAUGGGUUGUUAAGUCAGUUGUGAAAGUUUGCGGCUCAACCGUAAAAUUGCAAUUGAUACUGGCAGUCUUGAGUACAGUUGAGGUAGGCGGAAUUCGUGGUGUAGCGGUGAAAUGCUUAGAUAUCACGAAGAACUCCGAUUGCGAAGGCAGCUUACUAACCUGUAACUGACAUUGAUGCUCGAAAGUGUGGGUAUCAAACAGGAUUAGAUACCCUGGUAGUCCACACGGUAAACGAUGAAUACUCGCUGUAGGCGAUAUACAGUCUGCGGCCAAGCGAAAGCAUUAAGUAUUCCACCUGGGGAGUACGCCGGCAACGGUGAAACUCAAAGGAAUUGACGGGGGCCCGCACAAGCGGAGGAACAUGUGGUUUAAUUCGAUGAUACGCGAGGAACCUUACCCGGGCUUAAAUUGCAACCGAAUAUGGCGGAAACGCUAUAGCUAGCAAUAGCGGUUGUGAAGGUGCUGCAUGGUUGUCGUCAGCUCGUGCCGUGAGGUGUCGGCUUAAGUGCCAUAACGAGCGCAACCCUUGCCGAUAGUUACUAACAGGUUAUGCUGAGGACUCUGUCGGGACUGCCAUCGUAAGAUGUGAGGAAGGUGGGGAUGACGUCAAAUCAGCACGGCCCUUACGUCCGGGGCUACACACGUGUUACAAUGGGGGGUACAGAGGGCUGCUACCACGCAAGUGGAUGCCAAUCCCAAAAACCUCUCUCAGUUCGGAUUGAAGUCUGCAACCCGACUUCAUGAAGCUGGAUUCGCUAGUAAUCGCGCAUCAGCCACGGCGCGGUGAAUACGUUCCCGGGCCUUGUACACACCGCCCGUCAAGCCAUGGGAGCCGGGGGUACCUGAAGUGCGUAACCGCAAGGAGCGCCCUAGGGUAAAACUGGUGACUGG